rnacentral:rRNA from 1 species
GACGAACGCUGGCGGCGUGCUUAACACAUGCAAGUCGAGCGGAGAUAUAUUGAAGAUUUAUCUGAUGUAUAUCUUAGCGGCGGACGGGUGAGUAACGCGUGGGCAACCUGCCUCAUACAGGGGGAUAACACUGGGAAACUAGUGCUAAUACCGCAUAACAUAGAGAAGUGGCAUCACUUUUCUAUCAAAGGAGUAAUCCGGUAUGAGAUGGGCCCGCGUCCGAUUAGCUAGUUGGUGGGGUAAAGGCCUACCAAGGCGACGAUCGGUAGCCGAACUGAGAGGUUGAUCGGCCACAUUGGGACUGAGACACGGCCCAGACUCCUACGGGAGGCAGCAGUGGGGAAUAUUGCGCAAUGGGGGAAACCCUGACGCAGCAACGCCGCGUGAAGGAUGAAGGUUUUCGGAUUGUAAACUUCUUUGAUGAGGGACGAUAAUGACGGUACCUCAAAAACAAGCCACGGCUAACUACGUG